UUCAGCCAGCGGUAAUCCCUUUUAGUCGUGGUAAUCAUCACGUCACAAAAUACGUUCACUUCCACUUAGCGCGAUCUUGCCAACGUCGAUGCACGUUCAAUGCCGGUUCCCGCGACAUUUGUUUCGACACACUGAUCAAGGAUCGAUAUACGCGAUUAGGUUAGACCACCACUUAGGAUAUUUUCGAGAACGACGCGAGAAAACGUUGAAAUUAACGAGCAUAAGCGCGACACGACGAUUCCGAUUUUCACGAAACACGAAAAGGAACGUUGGCGCGUGCUGCGCGCCACCGCGAAGCCACUCGACGAAGAUUUGCGAGCACGCACGAAGCCGGCCGACGAUUUCCGAACCAGCUGGCACAGUGUUGCAUCGCUAGCUACGCGAAGUUAGGUAGAGGAAAUGGCCGAAACAGGUUUAGUAUUCGCCGCAUUCACCCUUGAGCAGCUAUUAUCGAGCUUUGUUUGCUUCCAAAUGUACGAGCACGUCUUGAUUUCAGUACAAAACUUGCUAUCCACGAACGUAGGUGAACCGUAUCGACGCGACUCGAUUCACAUUGAUUCUUCAAAUUAAUUACCAGCUAUUAUCGACCUUUGCUUCCAAAUGUACGAGCACGGUCAGUGAUUGACUUCGGGCAGUGAUUGAAACUGAGUUCGAUGUCAACGAUCCCAACGCCAUGAUCAUCUCGAUAUCGAUUGCCGACGCCAUGAUUGUUGCUACGCUGUACUGAUCUUGUCGUUUUUCACACUCUGUUUCGUUUCCCGCAAAUAAAGUGAUCCUGGUGCAGAGCGAUCGAUGAACCGGGGACGUGGCUUGGGAGCGCUUCGUCAACGCUGAAAACCCGUCCCGGACCUGCCCUCAUCGCGCUGAUGCGAAAUCUGGUCCGACAACUUUGCCUUUCGAGGCAGGGAAACCGGAGAUGGCUAUCGAUCAUCGACGAUCGCCGAUGUCGCUGCAUCGACAACCGACGAGACAGGCCAAUUUUCGAGAAGCUAGAAAUAUAUUGUUCGGGUACUAGAUGGCUAUAAGUGUGUUUUUAUGUCCAUAAAUGGGAGCCUUUAUGUUUUUCCA